ensembl:snRNA U5 U5 spliceosomal RNA
AUACUCUGGUUUCUCUUCAGAUCGUAUAAAUCUUUCGCCUUUUACUAAAGAUUUCCGUGGAGAGGAACAAGCACGAGUGUCGUGGAAUUUUUUGAGGCUCCGCUUCGGCGGAGCU